GGCGACGGAUCGGAAGGCAGCGUCGGCACUGGAUAUGGGAGUGGUGGAUCCGCCGCCGUCUCCACUCGCCGGGAACCAGCCAGAUCCGCCCCACGAGCUUCACAGGUGCCACCUCCUCCGCCACCAGCCACGGUGGCCUCCCCCGCCCCGUAUCGGCGCGGAUCCAGCCGCCAUCUCCCGCAGCAACGGCGGCCUCGCCCUGCUCCGCCCCCGCUCCUCCUCCUCCUCCGCGCCUUCGCCUCGCUCCCCAUCCCGGCCGCCGCGAGAGGCGGCCUCGACCCAUCUCCCUCAGGUAUCAUCGAUGAAAAACAUGGGUCGUUUUCGCGUACUCUUCUUCAGGAUAAGCCUGAGAUCACGAAAGAAAUGAUUCGUGGGUAUAUGAGCAAUUCUGAACUUGAGACUGCUAUACAAGACUUUGGGUGGCGCUGUGCUAAUGUCUCCAGGAUAUACAGGACCCGAGCAUCAAGGAGAUGGCGGAGCAGAUCGCCAAGGACCCGUCCUUCAGCGAGAUGCCCCGUAAAUCUACUGUAUGAUCAAUCAAAACACGUUUUGUCCAAAGUCCAAACUUAAUGGUGUGAUAUUGUGGCAUAUUUACCCUGGAGCUAGCAUAUAUAUGGAGCUGACUUUGUUCCUGGAGUGUUAAUUGCAGGAGCAGACAUAGAGGAGGAAUCUGCUACCUCAAAGUAGAUGAUCGACGUCGGGAGGGUGGGUAUGUGAUGUCAGAGGCUGCCGGGAGGGUGGUGACGAGCUACUGAAGAGAUGAGUUCUGGCUCUCCUCGAUGCCAGGACGAGGCGCUGCUGCCGAUCGGACGUGGACUCGAUUGAUUUUGAUUUGAAAUAUGAG